GGCACGAGGCCAUUUGAGAUUUGACCCCAUUGUCACUCUGGACCUCAGUUCCACUUUGCCUUCAUAGGGCUUAUGUUAACAAAGCAAGGAACCGCGUUUUGCAUGUAUUGGCACAAAGCUGACCCAAAUGUAUGGGAAUUCUCCUACUCUGACACCCUGCUGUGGAUUUCCCGCCUCGUCCCACUGCGUCUGCAUUAGCCGUGCCUUCCACCAGACGAGAGAGCUCCUGCCUGAUGGACUUGCCUGCAGUUCCCUGGGUGAACCCCAACAGCAGCAAGAAGGGGAGGCGAAUCCACAGCUUGCUGUUCACAGGAGCACAAAGGCAGGUUUGAACUUCUGAGAGGUAAGCCCAGUUCUACUCUAGAUGGAGAGAGACCUGGGCAAAGGAUGAGGCUUAGUGGAACACUGCAUCAAAUGGGUCUCAGCAUCCUCGACAUUCCACCUGGAGACUGGGGUGGAGUAAUAAGAUCCUGGUGGAUGGCACCAUUGCUUGAGGCCUCCCUCCCCAUCUUUCUAAAUAAAAGGUUUUUGGGGGGCCCCUGGGUGGCUCA
rnacentral:lncRNA from 1 species